rnacentral:rRNA from 1 species
AUGUGUAAAGCCCGGGGCUCAACCUCGGAAUUGCAUUUGAAACUGGCAAACUAGAGUACUGUAGAGGGGGUAGAAUUUCAGGUGUAGCGGUGAAAUGCGUAGAGAUCUGAAGGAAUACCGGUGGCGAAGGCGGCCCCCUGGACAGAUACUGACACUCAGAUGCGAAAGCGUGGGGAGCAAACAGGAUUAGAUACCCUGGUAG